rnacentral:lncRNA from 1 species
AUUUAUUUCAGUAUGACAUGAAAAAAAAAAAACAGACAACCGGCUAAUGACAGCAGAAUUAUUUACUAUCAGAUUGAAUUUAAUUUUACACUUAAUCAACAACCACGAUUUAAUUUCUCAGCAGACACGCAGAGCAGACGUGGAGAUGCUGCAGAGGAGGCAGUGGCCCUGGAGGCACGGAGGCUGCAGAAGGGAAGAAGCGGCAUCCUGGAAAAGAGGUCUCUGAAGUGCUUCCCUGACUUCAAAGUGUAUCUGAGGACAACAACAACAGCAACAGCAACAACAACAAAAACAAUGACAACAACAAAAGAAUACACAAAUACCAAAGGAAGAAGUACAUCUUUAUGCUUGUCUGUUUGUCGAGUUAAAUCUCCUUUCUUGCAGCACAAAAAGUCAAAGGUCAGAAGAUCUGUGUACAUUUUAAAAGGUGUUGAAAAUGCCUAUGAUGUCAUUGCAUGAGUGGGAUGCAUCUUUUUGAGAUAUGCUGUGGGUCAUGCUGCACUGUUAUACUCUUGUAGACGUGUGUUCUUUUUUUUGAGAUAUAAGCUGCAAUAUCCUAUCUUGUCCUUUGUCACUCUGAUUACCAUGUAGGCCAGUAGAGGCAGGUGGGAGGCUAAGUGUAUAGUUAGAUAAUAACAAAAUGUUCUUUCUAAUUUUGCAGCGUGUCCAAUCUUUCUCUGGUGACAGAAAC